rnacentral:rRNA from 1 species
CCUGCGGAGGGAUCAUUACCGAGUUUACAACUCCCAAACCCCUGUGAACAUACCACUUGUUGCCUCGGCGGAUCAGCCCGCUCCCGGUAAAACGGGACGGCCCGCCAGAGGACCCCUAAACUCUGUUUCUAUAUGUAACUUCUGAGUAAAACCAUAAAUAAAUCAAAACUUUCAACAACGGAUCUCUUGGUUCUGGCAUCGAUGAAGAACGCAGCAAAAUGCGAUAAGUAAUGUGAAUUGCAGAAUUCAGUGAAUCAUCGAAUCUUUGAACGCACAUUGCGCCCGCCAGUAUUCUGGCGGGCAUGCCUGUUCGAGCGUCAUUUCAACCCUCAAGCACAGCUUGGUGUUGGGACUCGCGUUAAUUCGCGUUCCUCAAAUUGAUUGGCGGUCACGUCGAGCUUCCAUAGCGUAGUAGUAAAACCCUCGUUACUGGUAAUCGUCGCGGCCACGCCGUUAAACCCCAACUUCUGAAUGUUGACCUCGGAUCAGGUAGGAAUACCCGCUGAACUUAAGCAUAUCAAUAA